UUAUGAGGUCACAAAAAGUCAGACUUGGCUUAGCAACUGAAAAACAAUGUAAAUUAAUAUUUUGCUUCUUAAAAUUAAUCUUCAACAAUAACAACAACAAAACUCUCUAUUUCUACUUUCUCCUCUAGCUACUGUCCCCGGCCCCCCUUUUUUUUGCCUCUUUACAAUGAAUAUCCCUGAAAGAGUUCUGCAUUUACCAUCCCCAUUCCUUUCUCACAUUUUCUGUUAAAUCCACUCCAACUAACUCUUGCCCCCAGAAUUCCACCAAAACUGCUCUCCAUGUUACUUAAUCCAAUGGCCUGUUCUCAGUCUUUUCAUUUGACUUGUCAACAACGUUUGACACAGUUGAUCACAACCCCCAUGUAGCUUCACUUGUUACACUUGUUUCUUCAGUGUUACAGGGCACUUUAUCCUCCUGAUAUUCAUAAUCCACUGCUAGUCAUUGUUCUCAAUCUCUUUUGCUCACUGACCUCUUACUGUUGGAGUGUCCCGGGUCUCUGACGUUGCACCUCUUCUGUUUCAUGCUCUUUCCCUCAGUACCUCAUUCAGUCUUACGGCAUCAGAUAUUAUAAAUAUGCUCACAACUCCCUAGGCUCAGAUUAGGCCUUGUGUAUCCUAGGAUAUUUAAUAGACCUCUGAAAAGUGAGAGUCGCUCAGUCAUGUCUGACUCUUUGCAACCCCAUGGGCUGUCUAUACAGUCCAUGGAAUUCUCCAGGCCAGAAUGCUGGAAUAGGUAGCCUAUCCUCUCUCCAGUGGAUCUUCCUGACCCAGGAAUCAAACUGGGAUCUCCUGCAUUGCAGGUGGAUUCUUUACCAGCUGAGCUACCAGGGAAGCCUUGGAUGUUUAAUAGACCUCUCCAUUUUAUUAUAUCUAAAACUAAACUCCUGAUCUCUCCUCUGCUCAAAAACCUCCUAUACUUACAACUUUCUCUGUCUCAGUCCAUGGCAACUCCAUCAUUUCCACUGCUGAGGCCAACUCAGCAACUCUUUUACACCCCACAUCCAAUCUGUCAUCAAAUCCUACUGCUGUCUCUUGAAAAUAUGUGACUAAUUCUCCCAUCUCCACUGAUACCACCUUGGUCCAAGCUGCUGUUACCUCCAUUAGCCUUCAUUCUCUUCUCAGCCCAGCAGCCAGGGUGAUCCUUUUAAGCUAUGAUUCUGUUCAAAGCUAUCUAGUAGCUCCCACGUUGCUCAGAAAAGGCUGUGAUUCUUACAGUUAGGCCUACAAGACCCCAUUUCCUUUCUGAUCCACUUCCUGCUCUUUUCCCACUACCUUUCACUGCUCAGGCCCAUUGACCACCUUGCUAUUACUCAGCAGUUUGGACACACUCUCCUCAGGGACUCAAAUUUGCUGUUCUUUCUGGUCAGGAUGCUCCUUUGAGACGUUUCCAUGUCCUUCUCACCUCCUCAGGUCUUUGCUUAAACAUCCCCAUUUCCGUGAGGCCUUCCCUUAUUACCCUGAUGAAAAUUGUUCACCCCACACCCCACCUCCCUCUUUGCUCUUUUGCUCUCUCUGUCUCCUUUUGAUACUUUAUUAUUCUCCAUGGCACCUGUCACUUUCUGGCAUGACAUAUACUUAGCUCAUUUAAUACGUUUGCAGGGACUUUUGUCUCUUUUUUUGAUUGCUAUAUUCUUAACAUUUAGAACAGUAUUUUAUACGUAGCUGGCACUCAAAUGUUUGAUGAGUGGAUGCAGUUGAAAUUCUGGACUUAAUCUCCUGGCAUUGGUUUGCAUAAACAGGUCUCCCUUAGCUUGAUAAUCUCUAAAUGCAUCUAUAAAUAUUGUUUCUGUAUUACAGCCUGAAUCAUAGGAAUCCACCAAAGUACUGCCUUCUUGUGGGACCUGAUUUCAGCAUGGUCACACUCCCUGCCAUCUCUGUCUUAGUUCUAUAUAACCUGAAAGAGAUGAAGACCUCUUUGAAGCUUUCUGAUCUUCCCACGUUCAGAGUCAGAACUGAAGAACUGAUCAGCAAGAUUCUGGUUGCUUCUUAUUUCUAUUUUGAGGACCAGUUGCUUCAGCUGUACAACCAAGACACCUGAUUGACUUGCAGAAGAUCAGACUGGUCUGCCCUAAGCUGUCUCUGCGCUGUCAGAGCUUGCUGCACGCAGACGCAAAGCACCUGGCAUGUGGGAGGGAGUAGAUUACCCGUUCCUGCGCUGUCUCACCCAUUAGACUACCUGCAAUCUGAGCAGACUCAGUGGAAAAGAUAUGCAUCUGCUCUACGUGUGUGGGCUGGUCAUGGCUCGGCUGGAGAUGCAGCAUGGUCCCACUCACAUGUCUGGUGGGAGAGAUGUCCCUGGCAGUCUGCUGGACCUCUGAAGCUGCCGGUCCACUGUGGGGAAAGUCCAGCUGGGGCAGACACAACGCUGUCUGUUCACCAGGUGCAGAAUCCACCAAUGGGCAGAGCUGCCUGCAGCCUGCAUUUUCCUUGUGUGAACAGCAAGCUUAUUUACUCCUUUGAUUUUCUUAAGGAUUCACAUGUUGUAGCCCGAAAGCCCAAUGUGACUAUAUUUAGAGAUAAGGGCCUCUAAGAAGGUAAUUAAGGUUAAAUGAAGUCAUAGGGUGGGUCCCUUACCCAUCAGGACUGGUGUCUUCAUAAGAAGAGGAGGAUAAAUCAGAGAUCUCUCUCUCUACAUGUGUACCAAAUUAAAGGCCAUGUGAGGACACAGCAGAAGGCAACCAUCUGCGAACCAGGAAAAGAGACUUCACUAGAAACCAACCUUGCCAGCACCUUGAUCUUGGACUUUGAAAUUCCAGAAGGCUGAGAAAACAAAUUUCUGUUCUUUACAUCACCUGAUCUGUGGUAUUCUAUUACAAUAGCCCAAGCUGACCAAUAUACUAGCAUGUGACUGAGCAAACCAGUAUCUCCUAUCAACGUUAAUUUCUUCUUUUAAAAAAUGGAGAUGGUUAAAAAGUUCUCCUUCACAAGAAAUUUGGAAGAAUUAAGUGCACUGUGAGUUUAAAGCACUUAGUAUGUAGUAAGUAUGCAUAUGUAGCUCUUACUCCUCAUAUCCCUGGAUUUCUGCUUCAGUAUCCCCGCCUGGAAUCCCAGGUCUUGGCUCUCAUCAAUUGCUGCCUCGCAGCCUCACACUGGCUCUUGCUGGUCCCCCCCGUGUUCUGUUCCUGGUGUCUCCUGCCUCUGCUCUGGAUCUGCCGGCAUCAGUCCUGCUGGUCCUGAUUUUCUUUCCCCUGUCAGUGCUCCAGUUGCCGGCACCAUUUCAACCCUGAGAGUGUCAUGUCCCUGUUAUUUUCUGUGUUGGUCCAUCUAUCAGCUGGCUUGUGUGGCUGAGCCAGUGUAUCCCUUCCCCUCUGGACCUGGCUGCAUCCUGUCAGCCCACUUGCUUAGAUUAGCAUACCUCUCAUUUCUUUAGUGCUCCAGGCUGUUGACACUGACUCUGGAAGCUGGCUGCUCUAGGUUUUUCUGUCUAGGCAGCAAAUGAGCUUGCUUUAAAGCUGCAUUUGCAUGGCAGGCACAAUUUUAUGUUUGUUUGUUUUUAACUUAGAUUGUGGGCUUAUUGGGUUGGGUUUUAGAAGUAAUGGAAAUUAUAUGUUUGGGAGGGUAGGGGGCCAUAGUCACAGGCCGAUUGGAUACGAGUUCCUGGCAUCAGUUCCUUACUCAGCACUUAUUUCUGCUUUUAUUCGGGUCUUGGGAUUUGUGGUUGUCUGCCUGAGGUUUGUUGGGUGGUUUGUAAGCAGUGAUUCUCAGGUUUGUGAUGACUCAUGUGUAUUAGUUUUCAAUUGCCACACAUCUCAAACUAAGCAGCCUCAAAACAACACACACAUUAUCGCAGGAUUUCUGCAGUUUUUAGUCUUUUAAAAAAAGUACAAAAGCGAUAAAGUUGGUUAUAACAAGUUUGAACAUUAAAAGUUCAUAAAGUGAAAAUUAUACAUAUGACCUUCUUGCGUGCUAAGUUGCUUCAGUUAUGUCUGACUCUUUGUAACCCUGUGGACUGUAGCCCUCCAGGCUCCUCUGUGAUUAAGUACUAGAGUGGAUUGCCCUGCUCUCCUUCAGGGGAUCUUCCCA